ACUGGCUGGUCGCUGCUCGCCCAAUUCCCACUGCUCACACAGCUUCCUUGUGGAUCCAUUCAUCCCCAUGCAUCUCCGUAGUUGGAAUUGCAUCAUAGCCGGUAGUCGCUGCUACAUCCUAGCACUUAUUGUGCCCUCUGCUAUGCGAACCUACUGAGACUUAGCUAACAACGAGACGGGGAACUGCUGCUGUGUGACCGCUGCUGCUUUGUCUUCACGAAGCGUGAUCGCUCAUCUGUGUUUGUAACCGUGUGACCACUAACGUUUGUCUCGACUUCGUCCUAUUAAGUGUCAUCCUUGUCAAUUCUGUGUGUACAUGGUUUUGGUUCAUUAUUCUUUUGUUUUGAUUUGCUUUACCACUGGCAGGAGGCCAUUUCCCCUGCGCUGCGGA